rnacentral:rRNA from 1 species
AGAGUUUGAUCCUGGCUCAGAAUCAACGCUGGCGGCGUGCCUAACACAUGCAAGUCGAACGCGAAAGUCCCGCAAGGGAUCAGUAGAGUGGCAAACGGGUGAGUAACGCGUGGGCGACCUACCUUCGAGUGGGGGAUAACCUUCCGAAAGGAGGGCUAAUACCGCAUGACAUCCCGUGUUUGGAUACACGGACAUCAAAGCCGGGGAUCGCAAGACCUGGCGCUUGGAGAGGGGCCCGCGUCCGAUUAGCUAGUUGGUGUGGUAACGGCUCACCAAGGCUCCGAUCGGUAUCCGGCCUGAGAGGGCGGACGGACACACUGGGACUGAGACACGGCCCAGACUCCUACGGGAGGCAGCAGUGGGGAAUUGUUCGCAAUGGGCGCAAGCCUGACGACGCAACGCCGCGUGGAGGAUGAAGACCUUCGGGUCGUAAACUCCUUUCGACCGAGAUGAAUUCCCGCCGACCUAACACGUCGGCGGGGUGACAGUAUCGAGGGAAGCAGCCCCGGCUAACUCCGUGCCAGCAGCCGCGGUAAU